GAUGCAACGCGAAGAACCUUACCUACUCUUGACAUCCAGAGAACUAUCCAGAGAUGGAUUGGUGCCUUCGAGAACUCUGGGACAGGUGCUGCAUGGCUGUCCUCAGCUCGUGUUGUGAAAUGUUGGGUUAAGUCCCGCAACGAGCGCAACCCUUAUCCUUUGUUGCCAGCGGUCCGGCCGGGAACUCAAAGGAGACUGCCAGUGAUAAACUGGAGGAAGGUGGGGAUGACGUCAAGUCAUCAUGGCCCUUACGAGUAGGGCUACACACGUGCUACAAUGGCGCAUACAAAGAGAAGCGACCUCGCGAGAGCAAGCGGACCUCAUAAAGUGCGUCGUAGUCCGGAUUGGAGUCUGCAACUCGACUCCAUGAAGUCGGAAUCGCUAGUAAUCGUGGAUCAGAAUGCCACGGUGAAUACGUUCCCGGGCCUUGUACACACCGCCCGUCACACCAUGGGAGUGGGUUGCAAAAGAAGUAGGUAGCUUAACCUUCGGGAGGGCGC
rnacentral:rRNA from 1 species